rnacentral:rRNA from 1 species
AAUGAACGCUGGCGGCGCGCCUAAUACAUGCAAGUCGAGCGAGAAGACGUAGCAAUACGUUUGUAAAGCGGCGAACGGGUGAGGAAUACAUGGGUAACCUACCCUCGAGUGGGGAAUAACUAGCCGAAAGGUUAGCUAAUACCGCGUACGCUUCUUGGACUUCGGUUCAGGGAGGAAAGCGAUGCCGAGGGUAUCGCGCUCUUGGAUGGGCUCAUGUCCUAUCAGCUUGUUGGNGAGGUAACGGCUCACCAAGGCUUCGACGGGUAGCUGGUCUGAGAGGACGAUCAGCCACACUGGCACUGCGACACGGGCCAGACUCCUACGGGGAGGCAGCAGUAAGGAAUAUUGCGCAAUGGGCGAAAGCCUGACGCAGCGACGCCGCGUGGGGGAUGAAGGUCUUCGGAUUGUAACCCCUUUC